GUAAAGUGGCAGAAGCUGGGACCAUCCAACUCUAAAGCCCACAUUCUUAGACAUUAGGGGAUAUUGAAUGAAGUGUGUGUAUGUAUGGGGGAAUUUAAGAGAAUAUCAAACCAUUUGUAGAGUUCUACCCAAUAUUGAGACCUUAUCUAAUGUAAGAGAACUCUGAAGACAUCUCAUUGAUUGAAUGCUCUCCCCUUCAUAGCAACUUUUUCUGCAGCUUCCUUGCCUGAUGCUCCAGUCUUUGAGGGAAGCGCGGCUGGCACAUUUUUCCGUUUGGAGACAUGGUUGACAAUUUCUCCAUAAUGGGGACACAACUGGCAAUUUUCCUACAGACUGAGGCAGAUGGCAAUUUUCCUUCAGAGACAUGCAGGCAACAGUUUUGCCCCUGGAGAGAAAAGCCUCGCCGAUUGAGAUGCAGCCAGUAAUUUUUACUAUACAGAAGACACAUCCAAUAAUUUUGCCCAGUGAGAGAAACGGCCAACAAUUUUCCCACAGGAGACAGGAAAAACAGACUAAAAAUUCAUAGUGGGGAGAAGUGAGGAGCGAUUGGGCUGGUGUGACCAAGAAAGACUUAAUAAGAAGCUGAGCCUUAAAUGAUCAAUAAGCACUGGAUAGAUAAGAGCACUGUUCACAAUAGCCAAGAUUUAGAAGCAACCUAAGUGUCCACCAACUGAUGAAUGGAUAAAGAAAA
rnacentral:antisense_RNA from 1 species